rnacentral:lncRNA from 7 species
ACCCAUUGUCUUCCAUCACCAAUCAUCAUGACAGCUUCAGGAGGUGUCACAGCUAAUACUGCUUCUGCAAGUAGAUUUGCAUAAAGGGACUCCACUAAAUGUUUUCCUCAAAAGCUAAACUAUCAAAGCAAAUUUUCCUUUGCACAUAUUAGAUAGUCAAAGAUUCCAUUAUAAUUAGCAGAUUCUCUAAAACCUAAGACAAAGGAUUUUAUUGGGAAUAGUAUGUUGAUAAGAAUAUAAAAUACAUUUAGACAACAUGGCCAUAUGAAAGCAGCAUAUUAUACAUAAUUAUAAAUCAUUGUAUUGAAAGGAGACAGAAUUCUAUUUCUGAAAGUUAACAAUGAGAAAAAUUCUGUUUUGUCCAGCACUAACAUAAAAGACAACGCUCAGCAGAAGAAUAAUGUACUCAUUUGACAGAAGGAAUACUUGCAGUAGCAGGAGAUCUGCAGUGUUUCCAGCAUUUCAUUAAUGAUUUGGAUUCUGCUUCUCUUAGUUAAAAUGCUUCAUUUAACUCCCUGUUUUCACCAGGAGUUUGGUGUUCAAAUUGUCCAAAUUGUAUGAGGAUUUUGUGGCUGUCCUGUGUGCUGACUCCCAUUAUCACAGCCCUGGACAUUGGGUCCACCUUAACAGUCUUGAUUACACUGGGAUGGUCUUCCAAGGUUUAAGUUGGAUCUUUGGCCACACAGUCAAAGGACUGAGGUACCUGCAGUGGUUGUUCCCGUAACAAAGAUUUAAAGUUGUUUGUUACAGCAAGGUGGUACAAAGAUUUAAAGUUGUUUGUUACAGCAAGGUGGUGCUCAUUCACUCCAGGUUACCCAUAGGCAUUCUUCAGCCUUGUAAAGGUCAUGGCAUGUGGACCUUUGUUUUCUGACUGCAGCUACAGAAUGAAAGCAAACAAUAUCCACCACACAUCAGAAAUCAAAGAAUUUGAGUGAGGAAUUUAAUGGGCUACAAAGCAUCUACAUAGACCAAUUCUCAGCUCCACUAUGUUACAUCGACAGUUCAACAACAUCUUGAAAAACAAAUCAUACCUGAUCUGCGAUUGUUCAGAUGUAUUUGCAUAAUAUUGGAAUCCUGUAUAUGGUUAUUACCCUGUGAUGAGUUCAUUAGUUACAUAGAUCUUAACUUUCUCUAGGCUUUGUUUGUUUGUAUUCUUCCUCACUUCCGUGCUGGGCUAAAAUCUGAAAGAAACAUAGUAAAGAUAUCACAAUAGGCAGAAAUAAUUCUCUACAGACAGAAAUAGUUCUGUAUUCAAAUACAGACACUCCAAAUAAAGCCAGACUGAUCACAUAGUAAGUGCCAGAUACAAGAUUGUCUUUCAGUGAUCUAAAUGCUAUAUGCACUUGUCAUUGUGUAAGACAAAGUUUUGUAAAUCAUAUGUAACUCAAUGCCAUGAUGCUGAAAUGUUCUCUCCCCUCUCUUUCUCUUCUUAAAAAGUUCAACUUUGAUCUCAGCCUCUAAUAAUUUUUUUCCUAUUUCUCUAAUCUCUUCAUCACUAAAGCUUUUGGAAACAACAUGGUCUACAACAUUAAUUCAUAGUCUCUUUCAAAUCAAGAAAGCCUUCCCACAAGUGUAGGUUUUGUCUCAUUUAUAGUCUGAACAAUUUUUAGGAAAAUUUCAAGCAUUCUCUAUACUCUGCCUUCAUCUUGUAAUUUCUCUCGGUAAUUGUAUUUUUGCAUGCUACACACCAAAUGCAUUUUUUAAAUC